UACGGGGGGAGCAAGCGUUGUUCGGAAUUACUGGGCGUAAAGGGCGCGUAGGCGGCCUACUAAGUCGGACGUGAAAUCCCUCGGCUCAACCGGGGAACUGCGUCCGAUACUGGUGGGCUCGAAUCCGGGAGAGGGAUGUGGAAUUCCAGGUGUAGCGGUGAAAUGCGUAGAUAUCUGGAGGAACACCGGUGGCGAAGGCGGCAUCCUGGACCGGUAUUGACGCUGAUGCGCGAAAGCCAGGGGAGCAAACGGG
rnacentral:rRNA from 1 species